AAUCAACGCUGGCGGCGUGCCUAACACAUGCAAGUCGAACGCGAAAGCCCCGCAAGGGGUAAGUAGAGUGGCAAACGGGUGAAUAACACGUGGGUGACCUGCCUUCGAGUGGGGGAUAACGUCCCGAAAGGGACGCUAAUACCGCAUGACAUCCUGCUUUUGAAAAAGCGGAGAUCAAAGCUGGGGAUCGCAAGACCUAGCGCUUGAAGAGGGGCCCGCGCCUGAUUAGCUAGUUGGUGAGGUAACGGCUCACCAAGGCGACGAUCAGUAUCCGGCCUGAGAGGGCGGACGGACACACUGGGACUGAGACACGGCCCAGACUCCUACGGGAGGCAGCAGUGGGGAAUUGUUCGCAAUGGGCGCAAGCCUGACGACGCAACGCCGCGUGGAGGACGAAGAUCUUCGGGUCGUAAACUCCUGUCGAGCGGGACGAACGCUUCGCGGAUGAAUAAGCCGCGGAAUUGACGGUACCGCUAAAGGAAGCCCCGGCUAACUCCGUG
rnacentral:rRNA from 1 species